UGGGGAAUCUUCCGCAAUGGACGAAAGUCUGACGGAGCAACGCCGCGUGAGUGAUGACGGCCUUCGGGUUGUAAAGCUCUGUUAAUCGGGACGAAUGGUUCUUGUGCGAAUAGUGCAAGGAUUUGACGGUACCGGAAUAGAAAGCCACGGCUAACUACGUGCCAGCAGCCGCGGUAAUACGUAGGUGGCAAGCGUUGUCCGGAAUUAUUGGGCGUAAAGCGCGCGCAGGCGGAUUGGUCAGUCUGUCUUAAAAGUUCGGGGCUUAACCCCGUGAUGGGAUGGAAACUGCCAAUCUAGAGUAUCGGAGAGGAAAGUGGAAUUCCUAGUGUAGCGGUGAAAUGCGUAGAUAUUAGGAAGAACACCAGUGGCGAAGGCGACUUUCUGGACGAAAACUGACGCUGAGGCGCGAAAGCCUGGGGAGCGAACGGG
rnacentral:rRNA from 1 species